CCUACGGGGGGCAGCAGUGAGGAAUAUUGGUCAAUGGGCUUACGCCUGAACCAGCCAAGUCGCGUGAGGGAAGACUGCCCUAUGGGUUGUAAACCUCUUUUGUCAGGGAGCAACGCCGGCUACGUGUAGCCGGACUGAGAGUACCUGAAGAAAAAGCAUCGGCUAACUCCGUGCCAGCAGCCGCGGUAAUACGGAGGAUGCGAGCGUUAUCCGGAUUUAUUGGGUGUAAAGAGUUCGUAGGCGGCAUGUAAAGUCAGGUGUUAAAGGCGCAGGCUCAACCUGUGUAUGGCACUUGAUACUUGCAAGCUGGAAUGCGGUAGAGGUAGAGGGAAUUCUUGGGUUAGCGGUGAAAGG
rnacentral:rRNA from 1 species